AUUGAACGCUGGCGGCAUGCUUUACACAUGCAAGUCGAACGGUAACAGGGUGCUUGCACCGCUGACGAGUGGCGAACGGGUGAGUAAUGCGUCGGAACGUGCCGAGUAGUGGGGGACAACGCAGCGAAAGUUGUGCUAAUACCGCAUACGUACUGAGGUAGAAAGUGGGGGACCUUCGGGCCUCACGCUAUUCGGGCGGCCGACGUCUGAUUAGCUAGUAGGUGAGGUAAAGGCUCACCUAGGCGACGAUCAGUAGCGGGUCUGAGAGGAUGAUCCGCCACACUGGGACUGAGACACGGCCCAGACUCCUACGGGAGGCAGCAGUGGGGAAUUUUGGACAAUGGGCGAAAGCCUGAUCCAGCCAUGCCGCGUGUCUGAAGAAGGCCUUCGGGUUGUAAAGGACUUUUGUCAGGGAGGAAAUCCCUAGUGCUAAUAACACUGGGGGAUGACAGUACCUGAAGAAUAAGCACCGGCUAACUACGUGCCAGCAGCCGCGGUAA
rnacentral:rRNA from 1 species